AUUCUGUAUAGUGAAAUCCUGGGUCAGAUGAACGAUGCAGGCAGGUUUAGCACAUGCAAGUCGAGCGAGUGAGAUAGAUUUAUCCCGAUCUUAGCGACUGACGCGUGAGUAAUGCUUACAAAUCUGCGUAAUAGUGGGGGCAACAUUUCGAAAUGAAUGAUAAUACCGCAUACGUCAUGCGGGAGAAAGCAGGGGAUCUUCGGACCUUCCGCUAAUAGAUGAGCCUAAUUCCGAUUAGUUAGUUGGUGGGGUAAAGCCCUCCCAAGCCGACGAUCUGUAGCGGCUCUAAAAGGAUGAUCCCCCCCCCUGGGAUUGAGCCACGGCCCAGAUUCUUCCGGGAGCCACCAGUGGGGAUUUUUGGCCAAUGGGGGCAAUCUUGAUCCAGCCAUGCCGGGGAGGUGAGGAAGGCCUUAUGUUUGUAAACUACUUUAAUAGAGGAGGAGGAUACUUUAGUUAAUAACUAGAGAUAGUGGCCGUUCCUCGCCGAAUAAGCACCGGUUAAUUCUGUCCCACCAGCCGCGGUAAUACAGAGGGGGCAAGCGUUAAUGGGAUUUUCUGGGGGUAAAGCGCGCCUAGGCGGUUAAUUAAUUCAAAUGUGAAAUCCCCGAGCUUAACUUGGGAAUUCCAUUGGAUAUUGGUUAGUUAGAGUGUGGGAGAGGAAGGUAGAAUUCCAGGUGUAGCGGUGAAAUGGGUAGAAAUUGGGAGGAAUCCCGAUGGGGAAGGCAGCCAUUUGUCUUAACACUGACGCUGAGGUGCGAAAGCAUGGGGAGCAACCAGGAUUAGAUCCCCUGGUAGUCCAUCCCGUAACCGAUGUUUAUUAGCCGUUGGGGCCUUUGAGGCUUUAGUGGUGCAGCUAACGCGAUAAGUAGACCGCCUGGGGAGUACGGUCGCAAGACUAAAACUCAAAUGAAUUGACGGGGGCCCGCACAAGCGGGGGAGCAUGGGGUUUAAUUCGAUGCAACGCGAAGAACCUUACCUGGCCUUGACAUAGUAAGAACUUUCCAGAGAUGGAUUGGUGCCUUCGGGAACUUACAUACAGGUGCUGCAUGGCUGUCGUCAGCUCGUGUCGUGAGAUGUUGGGUUAAGUCCCGCAACGAGCGCAACCCUUUUCCUUAUUUGCCAGCGAGUAAUGUCGGGAACUUUAAGGAUACUGCCAGUGACAAACUGGAGGAAGGCGGGGACGACGUCAAGUCAUCUUGGCCCUUACGGCCAGGGCUACACACGUGCUACAAUGGUCGGUACAAAGGGUUGCUACCUAGCGAUAGGAUGCUAAUCUCAAAAAGCCGAUCGUAUUCCGGAUUGGAGUCUGCAACUCGACUCCAUGAAGUCGAAAUCGCUAGUAAUCGCGGAUCAGAAUGCCGCGGUGAAUACGUUCCCGGGCCUUGUACACACCGCCCGUCACACCAUGGAAGUUUGUUGCACCAAAAGUAGCUAGCCUAACUGUUAAGAGGGCGGCUACCACGGUGUGACCGAUGACUGGGGUGAAGUCGUAACAAGGGUAACCGACCUCUUUGCAC
rnacentral:rRNA from 1 species